rnacentral:rRNA from 1 species
GACGAACGCUGGCGGCAGGCCUAACACAUGCAAGUCGAGCGAGCGGCGGACGGGUGAGUAAUGUAUGGGGACUGCCCGAUCGAGGGGGAUAACUACUGGAAACGGUGGCUAAUACCGCAUACUAUCGGAGAACCCAUAUGGGAUUAGCUAGUAGGUGGGGUAAAGGCUACCCUGGGCGACGAUCUCUAGCUGGUCUGAUAGGCUGAUCAGCACAACUGGGACUGAGACACGCCCCAGACCCUUACGGAGGCAGCAGUGGGAAAUAUUGCACAAGGGGCGCAAGCCUGCUGAAGCCAUGCGGCGUGUAUGAAGAAGGCGUUAGGGUUGUAAACUCCUUUAAGCGGGGAGGCGUUACCCGCAGAAGAAGCAACGGCUAACUACGUGCCAGCAGCCGCGGUAAUAC